rnacentral:rRNA from 1 species
AACGAACGCUGGCGGCAUGCCUAACACAUGCAAGUCGAACGAGACCUUCGGGUCUAGUGGCGCACGGGUGCGUAACGCGUGGGAACCUGCCUUUAGGUUCGGAAUAACUCAGAGAAAUUUGAGCUAAUACCGGAUGAUGUCUUCGGACCAAAGAUUUAUCGCCUUUAGAUGGGCCCGCGUUGGAUUAGCUAGUUGGUGGGGUAAAGGCCUACCAAGGCGACGAUCCAUAGCUGGUCUGAGAGGAUGAUCAGCCACACUGGGACUGAGACACGGCCCAGACUCCUACGGGAGGGAGCAGUGGGGAAUAUUGGACAAUGGGCGAAAGCCUGAUCCAGCAAUGCCGCGUGAGUGAUGAAGGCCUUAGGGUUGUAAAGCUCUUUUACCCGAGAUGAUAAUGACAGUAUCGGGAGAAUAAGCUCCGGCUAACUCCGU